rnacentral:lncRNA from 1 species
UGAUCUAAUGAUGAUCAAUAUUAUAAUUAUUAUUAUUAUUUAUUAUUAAUAAUAAAACCUAAUAACAAAAUCACAGACGUCUUCUUCGUUUAACGUUGCCGAAACGAAACCUUAACUAAUUUCAGGCUCCACCACCGAUGUUGAACGGAGAUGAGGAUGGUGGCGGUUUGGUCGGAGGAGGACAGCGGUCGACGAUGAUGAACGUCGGAGGUCGAGAUGCAGGUUGAUCGGAGAGGAUGACCGGAGAAGACAACUGUUGGUUUAGUGAUGAAGCAGAGAAGACGAUGAUGAUGAUGGACGAUAAGCGAUGGAGUCGAAAUCGGAACUCGAAACAGUGAGAGAUGGUUGCGACUCGGAAUUGGUUUCGACUCGUGACAAUGAUGAACGAUGACCAGAGACGGAGUUGCAAGUUCCGGCGAUGAUCGUUGCGACUCGGAUGAUCAAUAACUCGAGAUCUCAGUUGCGACUUGGAACCGCGAAAGAGAUAACUCGAGACCUCUGUGAGUCGAGACCUUGAAUGAUGAAGUGGAAGACUCGAGACCUUGAAGGAACCUCUUGUGAUUGCGACUUGACGACUCGAAACCGGUGAAGAUGUUGAAGAGUCG